AUUACCAGCUUGAGGUUUUAUAGUUUCUAAAGUAAUCCGUUUCUUAUCGUGCGUAGAAUACUUAACACUUCCUGAGGUACAUGGCCAUCCUUAAUCAGUUUGGUCCAGGGCACGAUAAUAACCAGAAACCGACGUUGGCAAAAUUCAUGUUAUACAUGGAGCGUCAACUUAAGCUCGAACAGCGUUCUUCCAAAGUCAAUCGUCGUAAAAUACAUGCAUCUGCCAGGGAAGUUUAGAAAACUUAUACUAGUAUGCUUGUUAUCAGCUUUGAAAGAGAUCCUGUAGUCUUCUUACCAAACCAAGCUAUCUACACGGAUGAUCGAAAAUGGUUUCUUUUAAAACGUGUACAAGUAGAUAAACUACGAAGUUGCUAGUGUUUUUAA